GAUGAACGCUGGCGGCGUGCCUAAUACAUGCAAGUCGAGCGAACAGACGAGGAGCUUGCUCCUCUGACGUUAGCGGCGGACGGGUGAGUAACACGUGGAUAACCUACCUAUAAGACUGGGAUAACUUCGGGAAACCGGAGCUAAUACCGGAUAAUAUAUUGAACCGCAUGGUUCAAUAGUGAAAGACGGUUUUGCUGUCACUUAUAGAUGGAUCCGCGCCGCAUUAGCUAGUUGGUAAGGUAACGGCUUACCAAGGCAACGAUGCGUAGCCGACCUGAGAGGGUGAUCGGCCCCCCUGGAACUGAGACACGGUCCAGACUCCUACGGGAGGCAGCAGUAGGGAAUCUUCCGCAAUGGGCGAAAGCUUGACGGAGCAACGCCGCGUGAGUGAUGAAGGUCUUCGGAUCGUAAAACUCUGUUAUUAGGGAAGAACAAAUGUGUAAGUAACUAUGCACGUCUUGACGGUACCUAAUCAGAAAGCCACGGCUAACUACGUG
rnacentral:rRNA from 1 species